AACGAACGCUGGCGGCAUGCCUAACACAUGCAAGUCGAACGAGAUCCUUCGGGGUCUGGUGGCUCACGGGGUCGUAACGCGGGGGAAUCUACGCGUGGGUUCUGACUAACAGUUAGAAAUGACUUCUAAUACCGGGUGAUAACGUUAAGUCCAAAGACUUAUGGCCUGAGGAUGAGCGCACGUAGGAUGAGUUAGUUGGUGUGGUAAAGGCUCACCAAGUCGACGAUCCGUAGCUGGUCUGAGAGGAUGCUCAGCCACACUGGGACUGAGACACAGACCAGAAUCGUACGGGAGGGAGCAGAGGGGAGUAUUGGAGAAUGGGCGCAAGCGUGACACCGCAGUGCCGCGUGAGUGAUGAAGGCGUUAGGGUUGUAAAGCUCUUUUACCCGAGGUGAUAAUGACGGUAUCGGGAGAAUAAGCCCCGGCUAACUACGUG
rnacentral:rRNA from 1 species